rnacentral:rRNA from 1 species
AUGCGUCUUAUAUGUGAUGGGUGUGUUCCCAUCAAGUCGAUGGUGGGGUUGAUGUGCCCGUCGAUUCGUGAUCCGCUGGCUGGGCUCAUCUUCUCAAUGGCGGACUGGUGUUCUAUGUUAGUCGGAGCCAUUGUAUGUGGUUGUGCAGUUGCUGAUGUACAGGAGGCGUCCGUGGUAUCAGUUCUUCAUCGUCCAUGCUUAUCUUCUAUAUGCUCUAGCAGCCAGGUGACUACAUAUUACCUUUUCUAUCAAUUCGACCACCUUCUCCUUCUUCACGAGGAUCGGCAGGUCAACAUCGAUGCCCAUGUUAGCGGCAGUGCCCGCUAUGAUUCUCAUGGCGGACUUGAUGGUUUUGCAGUUCAAGUCAGGCAACUUCUCCUGGGCGAUCGUGCGUACUUGGUCGCUGUGGCUCCUUUGAGCCUUUUUCGACGCCUGGGAAUCAGAAUUAAUAAAAUGGAGAUAAGGAACCAUGUAGUUCACUGA